CAUCCGGGGGAAGAAUGGCA
rnacentral:siRNA from 1 species